rnacentral:misc_RNA from 1 species
GAUGAAGAACGUAGCGAAAGGCGAUAAGUAAUGUGAAUUGCAGAAUUCAGUGAAUCAUCGAAUCUUUGAACGCACAUUGCGCCCGCCAGUAUUCUGGCGGGCAUGCCUGUCCGAGCGUCAUUUCAACCCUCGGGCCCCCCUCUGCGGGCGGCCCGGCGUUGGGGCUCAGGCGCCGUCUCUGCUCGGCGCCUGUCCCCUAAAUGCAGUGGCGGCCUCGCCGCUGCCUCCUCCGCGUAGUAGCACAAACCUCGCGGCUGGAAGGCGGCGCGGCCACGCCGUAAAACCCCCCAACUUUACCAAGGUUGACCUCGGAUCAGGUAGGAAUACCCGCUGAACUUAAGCAUAUCAAUAAGCGGAGGA